UUCUGGCUCAGGAUGAACGCUAGCUACAGGCUUAACACAUGCAAGUCGAGGGGCAUCAUGGAGUUGCUUGCAAACUCUGAUGGCGACCGGCGCACGGGUGAGUAGCGCGUAUCCAACCUUCCCUAUAGUAGGGGAUAGCCCGGCGAAAGUCGGAUUAAUACUCUAUGUUUUCCGUUGCAGACAUCUAAGAUGGAACAAAGGCUUGCCGCUAUAGGAUGGGGAUGCGUCUGAUUAGGUAGUCGGCGGGGUAACGGCCCACCGAGCCAUCGAUCAGUAGGGGUUCUGAGAGGAAGGUCCCCCACAUUGGAACUGAGACACGGUCCAAACUCCUACGGGAGGCAGCAGUGAGGAAUAUUGGUCAAUGGGCGAGAGCCUGAACCAGCCAAGUAAGCGUGCAGGACGACCGGCCCUAGUGGGUUAGUAAACUGUCUUUUAUGGCGGGAUAAAGUUCACUACGUGUAGUGUUUUGUAGGUACCGCAUGAAUAAGGACCGGCUAAUUCCGUGCCAGCCGCCGC
rnacentral:rRNA from 1 species